CCUGACUCCCGCCAAAGUACUCACCCCAUCAUUCUCUUUAAAUUAGCCAAUCGAAAUUAGUUUAGCCUGUGCGGUCUAACCCUAGCCAAUACGGGAAUGACACAGCAGCAGGAGCAACGUGCGUGGCUUUACUAGUAGUGAAAUUGUUAGCACUGGGGAAUGUAUCUGAGCCACACGGCACUAAAGUGUGUUACCGAUGGCAAAUCCACGUGGAUCUGCAGCAACUUCCACUCUUGCCUCCUCAGAAGAAAGAAUCCAACUGAGGGACAUAAAGCAGAGUAAGAGACCGAGUGCAAGCGCAUCUGGAGAUCUUAUCAGGAAGCUGCUGAUCAUCAGAUUCAGGUGUUUCUCCUUACUGGGAGACCGCCUUUCCCUGGCACGGCUGCAAUCAAUUAUUACAACUAACUGCCUGACCAUCACCUGAUGGCUUCCGAACAUUCCAGGACCCCUGUGUAGCUGUUUAACUAUUGAUUUCUGAAAUGGACUCUUGAUGGAGGAAUUACCAUUCUUGCCAGAUUUUGAAGUGCAACCCCAGAUAAAAUGGAGAGCUGUCUGAUACCAUAGUGACCCUCCAUUAAGUUCCCAGAAGCCUGAAUGGGCAUCAAUGGCUGAACCUCAAAAUCAAUGUUUAUGGUAGUAAUUCAUCACGAAAUAGA
rnacentral:lncRNA from 10 species